AAGCAUCACCUGAUAGGCCGGGAGCGAUUCUGAUUCCUCUCUGGCUUGCAUUAAGAUGCCAGAGUGACUCUCCCUGCGCUUUCUGCCUGCCCCGAUUCCGUAGCAGCUCAGAUUGAAUAAGGGAGAACAUUU